rnacentral:rRNA from 1 species
GAUGAACGCUAGCUACAGGCUUAACACAUGCAAGUCGAGGGGCAGCAUUUUAGUUUGCUUGCAAACUGAAGAUGGCGACCGGCGCACGGGUGAGUAACACGUGAGUAACCUGCCCCCGAGAGCGGGAUAGCCCUGGGAAACUGGGAUUAAUACCGCAUAGUAUCGAAAGAUUAAAGCAGCAAUGCGCUUGGGGAUGGGCUCGCGGCCUAUUAGUUAGUUGGUGAGGUAACGGCUCACCAAGGCGAUGACGGGUAGCCGGUCUGAGAGGAUGUCCGGCCACACUGGAACUGAGACACGGUCCAGACACCUACGGGUGGCAGCAGUCGAGAAUCAUUCACAAUGGGGGAAACCCUGAUGGUGUGACGCCGCGUGGGGGAAUGAAGGUCUUCGGAUUGUAAACCCCUGUCAUGUGGGAGCAAAUUAAAAAGAUAGUACCACAAGAGGAAGAGACGGCUAACUCUGUGCCAGCAGCCGCGGUAAUACAGAGGUCUCAAGCGUUGUUCGGAAUCACUGGGCGUAAAGCGUGCGUAGGCUGUUUCGUAAGUCGUGUGUGAAAGGCGCGGGCUCAACCCGCGGACGGCACAUGAUACUGCGAGACUAGAGUAAUGGAGGAGGAACCGGAAUUCUCGGUGUAGCAGUGAAAUGCGUAGAUAUCGAGAGGAACACUCGUGGCGAAGGCGGGUUCCUGGACAUUAACUGACGCUGAGGCACGAAGGCCAGGGGAGCGAAAGGGAUUAGAUACCCCUGUAGUCCUGGCAGUAAACGGUGCACGCUUGGUGUGCGGGGAAUCGACCCCCUGCGUGCCGGAGCUAACGCGUUAAGCGUGCCGCCUGGGGAGUACGGUCGCAAGAUUAAAACUCAAAGAAAUUGACGGGGACCCGCACAAGCGGUGGAGUAUGUGGCUUAAUUCGAUGCAACGCGAAGAACCUUACCUGGGCUUGACAUGUAAUGAACAACAUGUGAAAGCAUGCGACUCUUCGGAGGCGUUACACAGGUGCUGCAUGGCCGUCGUCAGCUCGUGUCGUGAGAUGUUUGGUUAAGUCCAGCAACGAGCGCAACCCCUGUUGCCAGUUACCAGCACGUGAAGGUGGGGACUCUGGCGAGACUGCCCAGAUCAACUGGGAGGAAGAUGGGGACGACGUCAGGUCAGUAUGGCCCUUAUGCCCAGGGCUGCACACGUACUACAAUGCCCAGUACAGAGGGGGCCGAAGCCGCGAGGCGGAGGAAAUCCUGAAAACUGGGCCCAGUUCGGACUGUAGGCUGCAACCCGCCUACACGAAGCCGGAAUCGCUAGUAAUGGCGCAUCAGCUACGGCGCCGUGAAUACGUUCCCGGGUCU